GGCGAGAUGGUCUAGAGGUAAGGACGAAGUAUUGCGAGUGCGUAAAGCCAGGAUCGAUUCCUGGUUGUGCCG
rnacentral:tRNA from 1 species